ACAAAACAGGCAAGAAGUACAAAUUCUUGCCAAUUUCGCGGUCAAGUCUUGGGAGGAUCAGAUCUUGGCGCGCCUAGCCGCUGCCACCGGAAACGGGCAAAGAUCACGCGAUACUUUAAAAACAAGGCUUUCAGCCUUGUUUUUUUUU
rnacentral:sRNA from 1 species